CAAGAGUGAGGGUACUGGGGUGGGAGGAGACACCCCAGAGUCCCAGGAGGCAUGCAGCCAGGAGCUCUUCUCAAGCCAGGAGGAAGGCAGCCAGUCGCAGCAGCCUUUACUUGGUGAAGGACAAGCAGAGGAGCGGGUUCCCGCGACCUUGAGUUCUCAGCUGCCUGUGUUAACAGCAGCUCAAGGACUCCAAAACCUAAGGAAGAAGCCGCGAAAAAGCAAAGAUGACCUACUGCAACAGUUUGGAUCACUCUGCCAGAGAGAAUAAAAAACUGGAGGGAAAGGGAAAGCAGGAUCCGCCAGAGAAACGCAGCGGCCAGGAAGAAAAGCACAAAGCAGCUGAUAAGCAUCCUGGCGCGCCAAACAGACUCUAUCCAGGCGCUCACAGCCAUGCAGGCAGAGCACUACCACGCCCACCUACCCCCCCACUGUCCCAAAGCUCUUUCUCUUGUGCCCCAAUGUCAGCUCCAAACCCCCUUCUCCAGCAUCCAGGUUCUUACCACCACCAGCUGCCUCCAACACCUGUACAUUCACCAACCAGCCCUGAGAACUACCACCCUUACCCUCUGCACUCAACCCCCAUCACCAUGCAGCAUAGGCAUCCUGAAGUGCAGCAGUCGUUACACAGCACUCCAGACAGGACAUAUUCAAACCUGUGACUGUACAGUUCCCUUCCCCACCCCCCUGCCCUUUUAGGUUCCCAAAAUGUUGUGUGUCUGUCAAUAAAGUAAUUUUCUUUUCAAUAAAUGAA